GGGGAAAAAUUAAUAAAUUAAUAAAUAAUAAAAUAAUUUUUAAUGAAAAUAUUUAAUGGGGGUUAAAGUAUUUUUAAUGAAAAAAUUAGAUAAUUUAUAGUAAAUUAGUAUUGUAGGGGAAAUUUUAAAUAUUUGAAAGAUAAAUUUAUUUUAAAGUAGUUUUUAUUUAAUGUAUCUUGUGUAUCAGAGUUUAUUAAUAAAAUUUUUAAAGUUAAAAUUUCUCGAAUUUAAAAGAGAUAAUUAAUUAAUAAAGUUAUUGUUGCAUAAAUAUUUUAAAUAAUUAAUUGGAAAUGAAAUGUUAAUCGUUUUUAAAUAUAUCUAGUUUCUUUAGAAAAAAAUUUAAUUUUAUGUUAAAAAAAAAAUAAUUUAAUUAAUUAAAUUAUUUUUUUUUUAACAUUAUAUUUUAAGGGAUAAGCUUUAAAUUAAAUUUAUAUAAAUAAAUUAAUUUUUAUUGAAAAUUAUAUGAUUUAUAUUGUUAAAAAAUUUUAAUUUAUUAAAAAUAAUUUCAUUAAAAAUAAAAUUUAAUUUAAUUUAUAUUUUUAUAAAGGGGUAAUAAAAAUAUGAUUAAAUUAGUUAUAAUGAUAAAAUUAGUAUAUAAAUUUUAUAAUUUUAUUAUUAUUUAAUAAAGUUAAUUAAAAGGAAUUCGGCAAAUUUUUAUAUUCACUUGUUUAUCAAAAACAUGUCUUUUUGAAUUUAAUAUAAAGUCUAAUCUGCCCACUGAUUUUUAAUUGAAGGGCUGCAGUAUUUUGACUGUACAAAGGUAGCAUAAUCAAUAGUCAUUUAAUUGAUGACUUGUAUGAAAGAUUGGAUGAAAUAUAAACUGUCUCUUAAUUAUUUAAAUAGAAUUUAAUUUUUUGAUCAAAAAGUCUAAAUAAAUUAAAAAGACGAGAAGACCCUAUAGAGUUUUAUAUUUAUAUUAAUUAAGAUUAUUUUUAAGUUAAUAAAUUAAAAUUAAUUUAAAUAUUUUGUUGGGGUGACAGAAAAAUAUGAAAAACUUUUUUUAAUUAAGAACAUUUAUAAGUGAGUAAAUGAUCCAAUAUUAUUGAUUAUAAGAAAAAAUUACCUUAGGGAUAACAGCGUAAUUUUUUUUUUUAGUUCAAAUAAAAAAAAAAGUUUGCGACCUCGAUGUUGGAUUAAGAUAAAAUUUAAAUGCAGAAGUUUAAAAUUUUUGAUCUGUUCGAUCAUUAAAAUCUUACAUGAUCUGAGUUCAAACCGGUGUGAGCCAGGUUGGUUUCUAUCUUUUAAAAAAUAAAAUAUUUUAGUACGAAAGGAUUAAAUAUUUAAAUUAAAUUUAAUUUUAUGAAUUUUAUUAAAAAUUUUUUAAAAUUUUUUAUUAAUAAUUUA
rnacentral:rRNA from 1 species